GGCCUAGGGGUGCUGACAGGCUGGACUCAGGGGUGCUGGCAGGCUUGGUCUCAGGGGUACUGGCAGGCUUGGUCUCAGGGGUGCUGGUAGGCUUGGACGGGCAGAAGGAGUGUGGGAGACUGUGAGGCCUUUUUUCUCCAAGCUGCUCCGGAAAAAAAAUAUUUUUCAUUAUACCUCAGGUCAGACCACCAAUCAGACCCCCAAUGUU